rnacentral:rRNA from 1 species
AUAUCAGUCAUGCAUAGCAUAUCAAUAAGCGGAGGAAAAGAAACUAACAAGGAUUCCCUUAGUAACGGCGAGUGAAGCGGGAAGAGCUCAAAUUUGAAAUCUUCAAGGUUUUACCUUGACGAAUUGUAGUUUAAAGAAGUGUUUUCUGUUGAAGUUUUGGUAAGAGUUCUUUGGAAUAGGACAUCAUAGAGGGUGAGAAUCCCGUAUUUGACCAUUACUUUCAGCUUUGUGAUACACUUUCAAAGAGUCGGAUUGUUUGGGAAUGCAGUCCAAAAUGGGUGGUAAAUUUCAUCUAAAGCUAAAUAUUGGCGAGAGACCGAUAGCGAACAAGUACCGUGAGGGAAAGAUGAAAAGAACUUUGAAAAGAGAGUUAAACAGUACGUGAAAUUGUCAAAAGGGAAGCGUUUGACACCAGUGUUGUUUUCUCGAAAAUCAAUUAAAAAGAGUUGGAUUUUGUGUUGUAUUGACUUUAUCAGCUUUCUUCACUCUUUUCCAGCUUUUUUUAAUGCACUUUUCGUUUAACAAGUCAACAUCAGUUUCUUUUGUUGUAAAAAGGUCAUUGGAAGGUGGCUUUCUCUUCGGAGAAAGUGUUUAUAGCCUUUGACUCAUGCAAUCGGAGAGACUGAGGUCUGCAGCGUAGAUCCUUCGGGGUUAGAUACAUUUGUGCUAAGUUAUAGCUUUUCAUAGACAACUUGUUGACUAUGUUUAGUCUUGUAGCUUACUCGCUUAUGCUAUUUUACCUACGCUUAGGAUGUUGAACUCUAUCACACACAG